rnacentral:rRNA from 1 species
GACGAACGCUGGCGGCGUGCUUAACACAUGCAAGUCGAACGGAAAGGCCCUGCUUGCAGGGUACUCGAGUGGCGAACGGGUGAGUAACACGUGGGUGAUCUGCCCUGCACUUCGGGAUAAGCCUGGGAAACUGGGUCUAAUACCGGAUAGGAGCCAUUUUUAGUGUGAUGGUUGGAAAGUUUUUUCGGUGUAGGAUGAGCUCGCGGCCUAUCAGCUUGUUGGUGGGGUAAUGGCCUACCAAGGCGGCGACGGGUAGCCGGCCUGAGAGGGUGGACGGCCACAUUGAGACUGAGAUGCGGCCCAGGCUCCGACGGGUGGCAGCAGUGGGGAAGAUUGCACAAUGGGCGCAAGCCUGAUGCAGCGACGCCGCGUGGGGGAUGACGGCCUUCGGGUUGAAAACUCCUUUCGCUAGGGACGAAGCUUUUUGUGACGGUACCUAGAUAAGAAGCACCGGCUAACUACGUG